UACGUAGGGUGCGAGCGUUAAUCGGAAUUACUGGGCGUAAAGCGUGCGCAGGCGGUUCGUUGUGUCUGAUGUGAAAUCCCCAGGCUUAACCUGGGAACUGCGUGUGAUACUGGAUGGCUUGAAUCCGGGAGAGGGAUGCGGAAUUCCAGGUGUAGCGGUGAAAUGCGUAGAUAUCUGGAGGAACACCGGUGGCGAAGGCGGCAUCCUGGACCGGUAUUGACGCUGAUGAGCGAAAGCCAGGGGAGCAAACGGGG
rnacentral:rRNA from 1 species